AUUCUGUUUUUCUAAUUACUUUUAAUCUCAUUUUGUUUCUUUAAUUGUUUUAUUAUAAUUGGCAACAAUUAGUUAACCUUCCCAAAGAAAUAUUGUUUGUUACUCUGCGUUUCCAAUGGAAAUGUGAAUUACCUUGAAAGUGAUGUAAAUGGGUAAGAUUGAGAUUAAAUGGUGAUUAGCUUCAUCUCUUUGUCUUCUUACUCUUUCUUUUUGUCUCUGACAUAAUAAUGAUAAUCCUGUUGGGUGAUUAACUGGUGUGGCCUUUCCAAGGAGAUGGAGGUGUUGAUGGUAACCAAACCUUUAUGAUGAUGUUAUUUCAAUUCCAUGAUAAAUUAAAGGAGUAAAUUGAUGAGCCUGUUGACAACAUUUUAAGUGAAGAAAAAGAUGAGGAGAAUAUUGAAUUUCACUUUUCUGUAACCAGAAACAAUACUGUUAACUCAUGGAGAUUAAUUUUACUUUGGAACCUGUUAACCAAAUGGUUAUAAGUGAUUACUACAAGAUGACAACAAUCAGGAAUAUUUAUAAAUCCAAGUUACAAUUAACCAAUGCUAAAGACAGUGAACAGCAACUGAAUGUAAUACAAUCACCCAAUCAAUUGAUCAGCUCAUGGAAAUCAAUUGAUGAAUGAAUUUAUUACGUUUUUAACAACAACUACGACUACCUGAUGAUAUCAAUAGCCACUGUUGCUACUUGAUGUUACUAUUUAUAAAUAAUUGAUCGAUAAAGACAAUGGACAUUUCCGUUUAUUAUUUAUUUAUAAUAUACUCAAUACUAUCAUUGAUAAAUUAUUAGCUCACUAAUCAAAUCUAAACACCCACUAAUCUUAUUCAGUAAAUGUCUUAUUUUUUUUCUGCAUCCAUAUUGAUACAAUAUCAUAAUUGAUUGAUCAUUUUUACAUCAAUUUACUGUUAAAUUUGUUAAAUUGUAAUAUAAUUGUAAUUUAUUAAUAAGAGACAAUUUAUAUAAAUCAAUUGAAACAAAAUUAAAUAAUCAAUAGAUGAAGAUUCGA